UCAGGGAUGGUGUUAAAUACACAGUGUUGAUGCUGUUUUAACACUAUCUGGUAAUAAAAUAACACUGCCAUUGCUAGGCCAGUGUUAUAUCAACGACAGUGUCAGUGUAAAACAAGGGUGUUACCAGAUUUCACACUGAGCGGUGUAAAUCAAGCCACGCCUCCAGUAAACAUUUCCUGUCAGGGAUUUUACCGCCAUUUUCUUUCAAAGGAGGACUGAAGAGAGCAGAUGCUAGUUUGGUGAAAGUACACACUGAGUGCUUCAAAUCAUUCAGAAGAGAUGCUGUUUUUAAGGGCAGUUUAUUAAAGAAGACCUGACAUGGAUGACUUCCAAUGAGAAACGACUGCUAAUACUUAUAUAAAUUCAUUACAGAAGGACCCUACCAGACUAUAUUUGAAUACGGCAUACCCAUGAAUUCUGGAACUUUUAUUUCUUAACCCAGUUUGGAGGAUAAGAGCUUACCAACUAUAAAUAUGCUGAGGUGAUGUAUUGCAAAAUAGCCAACAUACAACAAUUAAAGGAUAAUUGCAGCCUAUAUCCUGAUGAAGAUAUGGAUGACCCUCUGUCUGGUCAACAGGAGUUUAAAUAUGGACGGGACAGUUAUGUGGCAGCUCUUCCCUGACUCAUUCACCUCUUGCCUUCAUUUGUGAAAGGAAGAAAGACUGGAGAGGGUCAAUGAAGCUACUGAUUGGUUGUGCUGUGUAAGUUUUUUGGUAUUUUGUUCUAGUUAUUUAUUCAGCAGUUAGUUUGCUUGCAUUGUUCACCCCAUGUAAAUGCAUACAAGUUCAUAAAUACACAUCAAAUACAUUCAUCAAAUACACUCUUUUAAAACACUUAGGUGAUGAGCAUCAAUCCAUGCUUUGAGGGGGAUGAAUCAGCACAGCCCUGCCUGCUCUGCGUUGGGAACAAAAGUUGCAUCCAGAAUUUUUGCAUCAUUCUGGACCAAAAAGCCAUUCCCUCCAUGAUGAAGACCACUGAUGCAGCCUUCCACUACUGUACAUCAUGAGUAAAACAACUACAGAACUAAAUACCAGGUUGGAACGUAUUUAAGAAAAAUGAAACGUCUUUUGAAUUGAAAUGUCUGUUUUGUUAUGGAAAAAUCUUUAGUAUCUGCUUGCCGAUAAGGUAAUUGCAUGUAUUUUAAUGUUCAAGUUUUGAGUAGGGUGGCUAAUUUUUUUAACUCUCAUUUGAUUUAUUAAAGACCUUUAUAAUAAGUGGUUUUCAUGUCACUGCGCUGUGGUAUAAGAUAACUUUCAUUAUUCCAUAUUGUAUUCUGUUUCUAAUUGUAGCUGAGGUAUUUAAAUAAGCAGUGUUAAAUGCAAAGUGUUGUGUGUAUUAAUGUAAAUAUUAAAUGUGAUGUACUUUAAUAAAAAGAGGUUUUGCAAUAUUUCUUGUAAUUUGUCUUUUAUAGAAACAACCCAUUAGGAACAAAAGUGGCUAUUACUCAGUAUUUUAACACUUAACAUUGUUGAAUUCACAUUACACUGGUGUUGACCUUAAAUUAGGAGUGUUAAUUUUUAACACUGUAUUUCUGUGCCAACACCAGUGUAGUGUAGAAACAACAAUGAAUAGUGUUGAACAAAGUGUAAAAUUUAACAAUAUUGAGUGUUAAAUUAACAUAUAAUGGGUGUUGUUAAAUUAACACUACACUUUUGACUAAAUUAACACAGUGUAGUGUGGACACAUAUACACACUUUGCCGGUGUUAAAUUUGACACCGUGGGUGUUAUUUUAACACCAGUGAUUU